GCGGGGGUAGCCAAGCGGUCAACGGCGACAGGUUCAGGGCCUGUUCCUUAAGAGGUCCGAGGGUUCGAAUCCCUUCCCCCGCA
rnacentral:tRNA from 2 species